rnacentral:rRNA from 1 species
AUUGAACGCUGGCGGCAUGCCUUACACAUGCAAGUCGAACGCGAAAGGGGGCAACCCCGAGUAGAGUGGCGAACGGGUGAGCAAUACAUCGGAACACGUCCUGUAGCGGGGGACAACCUCGAGAAAUCGAGGCUAAUACCGCAUACGAUCUACGGAUGAAAGUGGGGGACCGCAAGGCCCCACACUAUAGGAGUGGCCGAUGCCGGAUUAGCUUGUUGGCGGGGUAAAAGCCCACCAAGGCGACGAUCCGUAGCUGGUUUGAGAGAACGACCAGCCACACUGGGACUGAGACACGGCCCAGACUCCUACGGGAGGCAGCAGUGGGGAAUUUGGACAAUGGGCGCAAGCCUGAUCCAGCCAUGCCGCGUGAGUGAAGAAGGCCU